GGAAGAAUCAAGAAGUAGAAAGCACAUUUAGUAUUAUCAAUAAAAUUGUAUGGUCUACCAAGGUAUUGCUGAUUGUUUAAGCAUGCCGCAUUUGUUGUUACAUCAGACUUUCAUUAAUUUUCUUGUUAGUCAUAUUGAGUCUAAUUUAACGACAGAGCAAUAAAACGCCUAAGAUUUUAGCUUUGUAUUGAGUGGAUCGAACAAAUGUUAAUUUUUAUUCCUCAUAGUUUAGCAUGAACUUUGAUAUGGUAAUUCACUCGCUAGCUUUUCCUUUGAUGUCUGUUCUAAAUAUCUCAAACUGUAAAACAUAACCAAUCUUAAAUUUUUUAAUCAUUUAUCCAUCGUGCUUUAAUUGUGCCUUCUUAGUCAUGAGAUUAAUCAAAAAUAUUAAAGAGCAAGCUGUAGGAUUUAGGUGCAAGAAAAAGGUAAAAUAAAAUCAAUAAAAAAAAAUGUAUAACAAAGCUAAAACAUAGAAAC
rnacentral:misc_RNA from 1 species